UGGGGGAAUUUUUGGACAAUGGGCGAAAGCCUGAUCCAGCAAUGCCGCGUGUGUGAAGAAGGCCUUCGGGUUGUAAAGCACUUUUGUCCGGAAAGAAAUCCUUGGCUCUAAUACAGUCGGGGGAUGACGGUACCGGAAGAAUAAGCACCGGCUAACUACGUGCCAGCAGCCGCGGUAAUACGUAGGGUGCAAGCGUUAAUCGGAAUUACUGGGCGUAAAGCGUGCGCAGGCGGUUUGCUAAGACCGAUGUGAAAUCCCCGGGCUCAACCUGGGAACUGCAUUGGUGACUGGCAGGCUAGAGUAUGGCAGAGGGGGGUAGAAUUCCACGUGUAGCAGUGAAAUGCGUAGAGAUGUGGAGGAAUACCGAUGGCGAAGGCAGCCCCCCUGGGGCCAAUACUGACGCUCAUGCACGAAAGCGUGGGGGAGCAAACAGGAUUAGAUACCCUGGUAGUCCACGCCCUAAACGAUGUCAACUAGUUGUUGGGGAUUCAUUUCCUUAGUAACGUAGCUAACGCGUGAAGUUGACCGCCUGGGGAGUACGGUCGCAAGAUUAAAACUCAAAUGAAUUGACGGGGUCAUAGCUGUUUCCU
rnacentral:rRNA from 1 species